rnacentral:rRNA from 1 species
GACGAACGCUGGCGGCGUGCCUAAUACAUGCAAGUAGAACGCUGAAGGGAGAGCUUGCUCUUCUGGAUGAGUUGCGAACGGGUGAGUAACGCGUAGGUAACCUGCCUGGUAGCGGGGGAUAACUAUUGGAAACGAUAGCUAAUACCGCAUAAUAGUAGAUGUUGCAUGACAUUUGCUUAAAAGGUGCAAUUGCAUCACUACCAGAUGGACCUGCGUUGUAUUAGCUAGUUGGUGGGGUAACGGCUCACCAAGGCGACGAUACAUAGCCGACCUGAGAGGGUGAUCGGCCACACUGGGACUGAGACACGGCCCAGACUCCUACGGGAGGCAGCAGUAGGGAAUCUUCGGCAAUGGACGGAAGUCUGACCGAGCAACGCCGCGUGAGUGAAGAAGGUUUUCGGAUCGUAAAGCUCUGUUGUAAGAGAAGAACGAGUGUGAGAGUGGAAAGUUCACACUGUGACGGUAUCUUACCAGAAAGGGACGGCUAACUACGUGCCAGCAGCCGCGGUAAUACGUAGGUCCCGAGCGUUGUCCGGAUUUAUUGGGCGUAAAGCGAGCGCAGGCGGUUAGAUAAGUCUGAAGUUAAAGGCUGUGGCUUAACCAUAGUACGCUUUGGAAACUGUUUAACUUGAGUGCAAGAGGGGAGAGUGGAAUUCCAUGUGUAGCGGUGAAAUGCGUAGAUAUAUGGAGGAACACCGGUGGCGAAAGCGGCUCUCUGGCUUGUAACUGACGCUGAGGCUCGAAAGCGUGGGGAGCAAACAGG